GUCAGGGUGGCGUAGUGGUUUGAGCAUUGGACUACAACCCUGAAGACCAGGGUUCGAUUCUGUGCUCAACCA